GAAAAGAAGCACUUGGGAAAGGUGCCGAAUCCAAAGGAGGAGUUGGGCAGGAGGACUCGGCCACGCACAGAAGCUAGACAGGAAGAACAAACCACAUUUAACUGCUGCCGAUGCUGUUAAUGCCGGAUCCCCGUUCAGGUGCGCAACAGUCCACACGUGGGUCCCAUCCCUGGCACCAGCCAGCCCCGAAAGAGACCGAUGUGGGAGCCCUCAGGAAGGUCUGCAGCACAAAUCUAAAAAUAGGAGAGUCUGGUGCACCACAGACGGUCCAGGGCACUGUUGCAGAGGCCGAGGACGGAAAGUGAAGAGCAGCCAUUCAACCUAUAGAACAAGUCCCAGCCUCGGGCAGGUCCCUCUGGCAACAGCAGUGGCUGAGGAGUGUCAGCAAGCUCCGCCCCGAGGAGGAAGCCAUCAUCCUGCCCUCUGCAAGAAUACACAUCAGCACCAGUCUUUAAGUAGGCAAAAAAACUUUUCAUGCUUUUCCAGCUCCAUCAGAUACUUUUCCUUCUAAAGGUAGAAAGAUCAUGUGUUUCUCGAAGCUCAUCAAGUACAGGACAGCUGAAGAUGCCAAGUGGCAAGCCACCUUGCUAGGGUUCUGAGAUCCAAUCUUCACUGUUUGGUUGGGGGAGCCCACGUGGUAUCAGAUGGAAAUUGCCCCCUCCCCCGUGCCUACCCACCUUGGCCCAUCAGGCCAUGCCAGAUCCAGAGCUCUGUAUCCAUUUAGAGCAGAUAUUUUAUCAAAGGCCAAACUGCAAGUUGGUUUUCUUCUUUCCCUCCAGAAUGCUUUUCCUAAUUUCAUUAUGUCCCUAAGCUCAAUGUCAAGACCAAUUAGAAGAGAAAAAUGAUCAUGCCCGGGAGUGUGUGGGGCUCAACAAAUAAAAGCUGUUGCUGGUAGAUCUCAGUGGAACUCUGGCCAGAGCAACUCUCCUGCCUCAGGACCAAUGGGAGCUUAUCUGUAGGAUGCUCUGGCCUUUCAGGGCUACAGAAGAUCCAAUUUUUUUCAGCUACAACCUUGAUGUGUCUCUUCUCAUCUCUUUAACAGGCCACUCCCAGAGUGUAGUUUAGUUCUGUGGGCCAAAGAUGUGAGAAGCCAGCCCUGUUCAGAUUUGUUAGUUGGUCCUGUCUCCUUGCUCCUCUGGUUGGAGGAAUUCUGUGCAAAGGUCUGAUCUUGGCUGAUCUUGGCACAUUCUGAUCUCCUGUAUGUGUGGGCCCCAGAUGAGCCCCAACAGUGGACAGAUGGAUGGAUGUCACCAGGGAAACUUCUCAUCACAGCAGGUUACUUCCUUUCUCAGGCCACAGCCACAAGAACUGCAUCAACUAGGGUGAGGGCUUUCUUGAGGCCAAACCAGAACUGGCCAGAGAGGGAAAUUGGGCUGAGUUUAUUGGAGGUGUCUGUGAUCCAAAUGAGGUAGAUACCUCAUAUCUGCUGAGAGUAACCUUAGAAUCGUCCCCACUUGUCUUCUAUUUCUGAAGGUCACAUACUAUGGUCCAAACCAUGUAAUUGACCCAAACUAGCACAGAUGAACUGAUUUUUCACAUACGAAUUUCUAAGAAUCAGCCUAUUUCUAUCUUGUGCCUCCAAAUAUUGCCUGAUAUUUGUGCCCAGGAUGUGGAUAUAGUGAGGCCAAACUCGGGUUGCCAUCUGCAUGAAGAGAUGUUUCUAUAUGUCCUCCUCUGCCAGUUUACUGCCUGAAAUCCUUAAACAAGAAACUAAAUCCUUAACUCUGCCAUCUGAGCUAAGGACUCUAUGCCAAUAUGACAGGAGAAGAUGCUCAUUGAAAAUUUCCCACUAAGAUUUCAAUGACUCAUACAGAUUCUUACAUGAGGGUGAGCUUUUUAGGCCAUUGUUAGAGGGGAUGGAAGGUGGUCGAGAAUAAGAAGGUCCUUAGGACCUUGAAAAUGGAAGCGGGUAUAGUGCACAAGAAGGGACAGAAGAGAAAAUGAAGCCAACCUCACUAUCCCACAACAUGCCUGGCUGUCAGUUGAAGACUCUCCUAUCAUCAGGGAAUAGGCUUGUGUGCUAGGCCUUUCAGGGGGAGGAAAUCUGCCUCUCUCUCAGAUGCCAAGGCCAAUAGCACAUAAAGCUGGGCUUGUGUUCAGUUCACCCUGCACUACACUGACUGCCUCCCAUCCCCAAGCAGUGCCAGGAGUAGUUAACUUGGUUAGAGGUCCAGUUCUUAUUCACCUGGUGGUAGGCACAGGGACACAGCACUCUGGUUACCAAGACUUGGCUUAUGACGUGCCUUUAAGUGCAGGCAAGAAUCCAUAGGCCCGCAGCCAAUGUGCAUCUCCAAAUGGGGACAACUGAUGUUAAAGUAGAGUCUGCUCUUGAUCCAAACACCUGGACCAUUCCAUCUGGUUUUUCAAAAGGCUGAACUAACCUUGAACAUAGUCCAUCCAGGAAGAGGAACCGCUUAUCAGAAAGAGCACUGCAAGAAGACCAAACUAACAUACUUCCCCAUGACACUUGCUCUCUUCGACUGACUUAGCCAGGCAAGCUCUCCCACCAGUCUGUUCUCUCUGAUAGCACUGGCGGGAAGGACACAUAAAAGACAUCUAACUUGUACUUGUAAUCACUUCUUAACUAUUUUGCCAGAAAGUAUAGGCAGAGCACAUGAUGUGCAAGGACAAUAGAAACCCAACUGUUGAAAUAACUGAGGACAUACUGGGUGUGGAUCAUCUGGGCCUGGGCUGAAGGGACCAGAUAAGGGCUGGUUGACCUUCCAUCUUGAAAAAACUACAAAAGUUGCCAAAAAGUCCUGAAUCACCAAGUGUAUUUAAAACGUGUGUAUGCAUGGGCAUAUAGGCCAUGAUAUUGUAAUAGCAUGGUCUAUGGUGAUGCAGAUGGCAGCUACAUUUGUGAUGAGCCUCUCAUAACCCUAGAGAUGUCAAAUCACCAUGUGGUAUCCCUGAGACUAACAUGGCCUUAUGUGUCAACUCUAUUUCAGUAACAAAAAUAAUUAAUUACAUAACAAAUUACU